CUAAGCAUAUCAAUAAGCGGAGGAAAAGAAACUAACAAGGAUUCCCCUAGUAACUGCGAGUGAAGCGGGAAAAGCUCAAAUUUAAAAGCUGGCAGUCUUUGAUUGUCCGCAUUGUAAUCUAGAGAAGUGUUACCCGCGUUGGACCGUGUAUAAGUCUCCUGGAAUGGAGCGUCAUAGAGGGUGACAAUCCCGUCUUUGACACGGAUACCCAAGGCUUUAGUGGUGCGCUCUCGAAGAGUCGAGUUGUUUGGGAAUGCAGCUCAAAAUGGGUGGUAAAUUCCAUCUAAAGCUAAAUAUUGGCGAGAGACCGAUAGCGAACAAGUACCGUGAGGGAAAGAUGAAAAGAACUUUGGAAAGAGAGUUAAACAGUACGUGAAAUUGCUGAAAGGGAAACGCUUGAAGUCAGUCGCGUUAAUUGGAGAUCAACUUGGCUCUUGCUGGGCUUAUUCUCUUAUUGACGGGUCAGCAUCAGUUUUGAUCAUUGGAAAAGGGUGAAGGGAAUGUGGCAUCCUUGGAUGUGUUAUAGCCUUUCAUCAUAUACAGUGAUUGGGACUGAGGAACUCAGCACGCCGCAAGGCCGGGAUUUAUCCACGUUCGUGCUUAGGAUGCUGGCAUAAUGGCUUUAAUCGACCCGUCUUGAAACACGGACCAAGGAGUCUAACAUACCUGCAAGUGUUUGGGUGGCAAACCCGAGCGCGUAAUGAAAGUGAAAGUUGAGAUCCCUAAUUUUGGGGAGCAUCGACGCCCGGACCAGACCUUUUGUGACGGAUCUGCGGUAGAGCAUGUAUGUUGGGACCCGAAAGAUGGUGAACUAUGCCUGAAUAGGGUGAAGCCAGAGGAAACUCUGGUGGAGGCUCGUAGCGAUUCUGACGUGCAAAUCGAUCGUCAAAUUUGGGUAUAGGGGCGAAAGACUAAUCGAACCAUCUAGUAGCUGGUUCCUGCCGA
rnacentral:rRNA from 1 species